AGUGAACGCUGGCGGCAGGCCUAACACAUGCAAGUCGAGCGGCAGCGGGUCCUUCGGGCUGCCGGCGAGCGGCGGACGGGUGAGGAAUACAUCGGAAUCUGCCCUGUCGUGGGGGAUAACCUAGGGAAACUUAGGCUAAUACCGCAUACGACCUACGGGUGAAAGCGGGGGAUCGCAAGACCUCGCGCGACAGGCUGAGCCGAUGUCCGAUUAGCUAGUUGGCGGGGUAAAGGCCCACCAAGGCGACGAUCGGUAGCUGGUCUGAGAGGAUGAUCAGCCACACUGGGACUGAGACACGGCCCAGACUCCUACGGGAGGCAGCAGUGGGGAAUAUUGGACAAUGGGCGCAAGCCUGAUCCAGCCAUGCCGCGUGGGUGAAGAAGGCCUUCGGGUUGUAAAGCCCUUUUGUCCGGGAAGAAAUCGUCUGGGCUAAUACCCCGGGCGGAUGACGGUACCGGAAGAAUAAGCACCGGCUAACUUCGUG
rnacentral:rRNA from 1 species